GGACUACUCGGGUUUCUAAUCCCGAUCGAUACCCAUGCCUUCGUACCUCAGCGUCAGUCUUCUAUAGUAAUAUGCCUUCGCCGCUACGCAUCCUAUCGAGUAUUUUAGUAUUGUUACACUCCUCUCGUUAUGAUUAUUACUCCAUUAUGACUCUAGUAUAAAAAUAUCAGAUCCACUCCUAGGUGAAAGUUAAAGAUUAUUUACACAGCCUACGUACCCUUUAGACCCAUUAAUGACGAAUAACGCUCGCCUCACACGUAUUACCGCGGCUGCUGGCAC
rnacentral:rRNA from 1 species